ensembl:lncRNA
CCCCAGGUGAACAGGUUGGCAGGACUAGGGAGGACAUCAUACACUGACUGAACCAAUAACUUAAAAUGGUGUGGUUCCGCCUUCCAGAGCUCUGCCCAAGUGAUCUUGCAGCCAGCUGUUUUCUCCCACCUUGUCCAGGCCCCCUGCUUGGACAUGCCUACCACUCUGCUGAAGCGAGCUUCCUCCACCUCGGCCCAUACCUCCUCCUGGAUAAGCUUCCGCUUCUCUUUCCCUCUGGCCUUGAUGUAGCACGGCUUGGGAUUGCUACCAAGCCCGGCCCGCCCCGUAGCCACCGUACCCACCAGGGUCCUAUGCCGCAGCCUUGCCUCUGCCCGUUCCACUGCAUCCUGGGCCCGCCACUUCCUUCCUGUUCUGACCUCUACCCCUGCUGUGGAGACCUUGGUGUCAACUGAGUCUCAAUAGAGCAGGACUUCUCUGGCUCGUGUGACCUUGAACUCCUCUGUCAGACUACUAAAGGGAAGCUGUAGCUUGGUGUUAUGGCCAAAGAGAGCAAUGCUGCUUAGGCUCCGUGGCAAGCCCAGCCACCUGCGCAGAGAUCUGCUGACCUUCUGCUCGAAGCCCUCCACGGUGGUAAUUGGGACUUCGUAGAUCAGCAGUGGCCAGAGGAGACGAGGAAGAAUGCCAUGCUGGUAAAUCCAGGCCUUGAACCUACCAGGAAGUCCUGACUUAUCCACUGCCGAGAGCCAUGUGUCCAGGUCAUCGCUGGUACCCUGCCGAGCAGCGGUGUCCUUCAGAUUGUGAGUGAAGAGUUUGCCCAGGCUCUUCACUGGCUUUUCCGACACUGAUGGAAUUCUGGUGUCUCCCAACAUAAAGCGGAACUGAUCAGCUACUUUUCCUUUCCUCAGGACCAGGGACCUGGAUUUCACAGGCUUGAAGCUCAUUCUUGCCCACGUGAUGAUCCGUUCGAGGCCUUGCAGAAGCCACCUGCAUCCAGGCACUGUGGUUGUGGUGACCGUAAGAUCGUCCAUGAAUGCUCUAAGGUCUUGCUCCCUCUUGCCAUCGCUAUAGAUGUGGUGGAUAUAACGGUUGAUAUCCUCCUCAGGACAUGAGAGUUGACCGCUACGUUUCUCUCCCAGCAGCUUCCUUGUAAAACCAAAUGGAUCCGCAAUGAAGGCACUGCGCCUACGGGCUCUUUCCUUGCCCCUCUUCCUGUGCCACUCAGCCCGCCGAAGGGUAAUUAGCCUCUUCCUUACCACACCCCUAAGUUCUGCCAGGGCUGCCUUCUCCUCCUCGCUUGCCUUUCGGUACUGGCUCCUGAGUGUCCUCAGGUCUUGUCUAUGUUGGGUAAUCUUGACCUCUCGUCGGGUCGGAAUUGGUGCUGCAGUAGACGUCUUGGUGGCGCGUUGUUCCUUGGCGCCAAAUCUUUCUGAAGCGAUGCUGAUUAUGAACAUGCUCAUGGUUUGGAGCCUCUGGUCCACACCACCCUUGGCUGUUGCUUCAAGGGCUGCAUCAACAUCUUCAUCAAACUGUCGCCACACUGACUCUUUGUUGGCAGGAGGCCACAAAAACUGGCGCCGCUCUGAUGGUCUGCUCUGAAGUGUAGCUUGUGGUGCUUGGAGGCUCUGGGCACUGUGGUGUGUGUCCGGGCCUGGUUCCUCUUCCAUCUCACCAGGUGCCGUACUGAGUACUGGCACUGUGCAUUGCAUCACAAGCUUCCCUAGGCAGCCCAUCUUGCUCUGGUGUAUUUUUAGACCAGUCUUGUUUUUGCAGACCUUGCCACAUUUACAGACUGCACUCGUAGUUGAUUGUCCAUUUGCAUUAGUCGUUACCAGAAAAGAAAGC